UACACUCCUGCGGGAGGCAGCAGUGGGGAAUUUUGGACAAUGGGCGAAAGCCUGAUCCAGCAAUGCCGCGUGAGUGAAGAAGGCCUUCGGGUUGUAAAGCUCUUUUGUCAGGGAAGAAACGGUGAAAGCUAAUAUCUUUUGCUAAUGACGGUACCUGAAGAAUAAGCACCGGCUAACUACGUGCCAGCAGCCGCGGUAAUACGUAGGGUGCAAGCGUUAAUCGGAAUUACUGGGCGUAAAGCGUGCGCAGGCGGUUUUGUAAGUCUGAUGUGAAAUCCCCGGGCUCAACCUGGGAAUUGCAUUGGAGACUGCAAGGCUAGAAUCUGGCAGAGGGGGGUAGAAUUCCACGUGUAGCAGUGAAAUGCGUAGAUAUGUGGAGGAACACCGAUGACGAAGGCAGCCCCCUGGGUCAAGAUUGACGCUCAUGCACGAAAGCGUGGGGAGCAAACAGGAUUAGAAACCCCUGUAGUCCC
rnacentral:rRNA from 1 species